CGAGAUGCUAAAGGUACAGGAUUGGCUGCCAAGGUCUGAAGGAGCAGAAAAGAUGAUGCUGGAAGCAACAGGAGGACCACGGUAGGAAUCAGCCUUGAUGCAAAUGUGCCUCAGAACCACCUAGCUUGGUACUCAUCUUCGACACCCAGAUGGCGGGUUCCUCCACAGCCAUUCACUCAGGUUUGGAGCCUGACUGCUGCAGGUGGCAGGAAGAUGGAGAAGAUAAGUCUCAGAGAAGAUAGGGUCUUGAAGUCCCUUUCUAACCAUAAAAAUUGGGACCAGAGAAGAAAAUGACAAGAGCAGCAGCUGGGAGACCCUGAACAUGUGACCCACGAACUGCCUGGGAGUCAUUAUUCUGCUAGCAGCCUUCAGAUGAAGAUGUAGA